UUGGUUCCCAACAUUUUUUUUUUUAUGAUAAUUUAUCUUUUUUUGAAUAACUAUUACAAUUGUGCUAUUAUCAUUGCAUUUAUUAAUAAUUAAUUACAUGUGCUGCAGUUUUUAUAGAAUUUAAGUUAUGUUUUCUAUCCAGUACGUACAUUACCAUCCUUACCGCAUUCGAAAUUUACACGCGUUUAUUUGUUAUUACACACAAUUAUUUUUUGCAACUUUAGUUUUCAUCUGUUAUAUACAAAUUUGCUGUACAUAAAUUUAUAAUCUUCUGCCCUGGGUUCUAUUCUUGGCCGCCUACGUCCAUACAUAACUAGACCUUCAUUUGUUUACUGACAAUAAUGGCUGUAGUAAAGCGAACAAAAGCGAAUCGAGGCAUCGCACAUUAUAACGGCGUAAAAAAAAGGUAGUGACAAGUGCAGCUUCAUUCUUUAUUAAUUUAUUAUUAAAAAAUAAAGAUUUAAUUUUACCAUUAGAAGAGGACACAGAAGACAGUGAGGAAUCCAAAACAAUAGGAUAGAAAUUAUAUUUAUAUUUUAUGUAAAUUAGCGAUGCAUUAGAAUGCAUGAGCGAAAAAUAUCGUGAAGACGAAGAUGAAGUAAAUAUCAGCGACGAAGAACUCUUCGCAUACGAAUCGGAUCAUGAAAACGAUAACUGCAUUAUCUGCAGAAUCGUCUCAUGAAGAGACGAGGAUAUACUGCGCUAUAUGCAUUGACACUGUCAGGCAAACUUCUUUCAAAAGUAUCUAUUUGCUUGCAAGAAGUUAGUGGAAGAUUUGGUCCUCAAGUUUCUCAAGAGGUUGCAAGACCGAUGGAAGAAUUUAGAAAUGUUGUAUUCACAUGCACAAAAUCUGGUAAAUUACACACGGACACUUAUAAACAAUUCUUAAACAACCCUAGCAACGAAGAAUACGUUCCUGUACAUUAUUGAUUCUUGGGCAGGUCAAAUAAAUCCUGCCCUAUAUGAGGAACUCAAAGAUGAGAAUGAACGACGUGUACAUUUAAAGUAAUACCACCGAAAUGCAUACCCUUGUGUCAACCCUAUGUAUACUUCUACCGGCAAGUAAAGCAUUUAAUACCAAGAAUACAAAACCAUUAUGCAUCAGAGAAGGACAGCUUGAAAGGAUGCCAUCAAAAUUCAGUCCGUGGUGCAUCACCACCUGUCGGCGGCAGCUUAUGCGGAAAUGAUAAGAUACGCCUGAUUUGCAACGAAGCUGUCGCCACAGAGGGGAACGUUCUGCCAUGUGAAUACGAAGAAAACACCCUACACAUGCGACGUGGACGCGUUUAUACGCUGUUCAUGGUGCAGGGUAUUUCUAUUCUUUGGAUGCUUCCUUACAUAUUAUCAUCCUCGGGAUUGCGGCUGAACAGGAUAAGGACUUCAUCUUCUUCUUCACGAUCUUCUUCGCUCAUGCGUUCUAAUGCAUUGUUAAUUUGCACAAAAUAUGAUAUAAUUUUUGUCCUGUCGUUUUGGAUUCUGCACUAAUGUCUUCUGUGUCUUUUUCUAAUGGUAAAAUUAAAUCUUUAUUUUUUAAUAAAUUAAUGAAAAAGGAAAUUGCACUUGUUGCCUCACUAUUGUACAUAAUUGUAAAUAAAUGUAAAAAUAAAUAGCUGUAAAUAAUUGUAAA